UGGGGAAUAUUGGACAAUGGGGGCAACCCUGAUCCAGCAGCGCCGCGUGGGUGAAGAAGGCCUUAGGGUUGUAAAGCCCUUUCGGCGGGGAAGAUGAUGACGGUACCCGCAGAAGAAGCCCCGGCUAACUCCGUGCCAGCAGCCGCGGUAAUACGGAGGGGGCAAGCGUUGUUCGGAAUUACUGGGCGUAAAGGGCGCGUAGGCGGCGCGGCAAGUUAGGCGUGAAAGCCCCGGGCUUAACCUGGGAGGAGCGCUUGAUACUGCUGUGCUUGAGGUCGGAAGAGGGUCGUGGAAUUCCCAGUGUAGAGGUGAAAUUCGUAGAUAUUGGGAAGAACACCGGUGGCGAAGGCGGCGACCUGGUCCGGAUCUGACGCUGAGGCGCGAAAGCGUGGGGAGCAAACAGGAUUAGAUACCCCCGUAGUCC
rnacentral:rRNA from 1 species